GCCUGGGUAGCUCAGCGGUAGAGCAGCGGGGUCAUAAUCCGCUUGUCGAAGGUUCAAUCCCUUCCCCUGGCA
rnacentral:tRNA from 1 species